GAUGAAGAACGUAGCGAAAUGCGAUAAGUAAUGUGAAUUGCAGAAUUCAGUGAAUCAUCGAAUCUUUGAACGCACCUUGCGCUCCCUGGUAUUCCGGGGAGCACGCCUGUUCGAGUGUCGCGAAAUUCUUCAAGCCUUGGAUGGAUUUUUUUUUUGUCUGUCCUUGGGCUUGGUUGUUGGGCUCUGCCGUGUCCUUCAUUGGGACGGCUGGCCUUAAAAGCAUUAGCCGAUCCUCGUGUGGUACUGGUUCUACUCAGCGUGAUAACAAUCUGAUCGUUGAGGACAUCUUCUGGAUGGCCAGUCAUCAUUUGGGUUGCUUCUAAACCGGUUUCGCAGAUUGCUCAAUCUGUGUGCCACUUUUCAGCUUUGACCUCGAAUCAGGUGGGACUACCCGCUGAACUUAAGCAUAUCAAUAAGCGGAGGA
rnacentral:misc_RNA from 1 species